CGAGGACUGGGCGGAGGGGCGGGACCGCGCGGCGUGAGGGGGCCGCCCCCGCUCCCCCGUGCCUCCGGCACCCACCGAGCUCAACAUGGACCCGGGCUCCGGCCCUGGCGAGGAGCCUCGAGCCUCCACAUCCUCCGCCACGGCCGCCGCGCAGGAUCCCGGCGCUGAGGAGAAAAAUGAUCCCCCGUUUCACCUUAAACUUCCUCCAAAGGCAGCUAGACCUGAAAAAGAAGUUGACCCAGAAUAUGAAGAGAAGAUGAAAGCAGAUCGAGCAAAAAGGUUUGAAUUCCUCCUGAAGCAGACAGAGCUUUUUGCACAUUUUAUUCAACCUGCAGCACAAAAAUCGCCAACAUCUCCACUGAAAGUCAAGCUUGGACGGCCACGGAUGAAGAAAGAUGAAAAACAGAGUUUGAUUUCAGCUGGGGAGUACCGCCACAGGCGCACGGAGCAGGAGGAGGAUGAAGAGCUCUUGUCUGAGAGUCGGAAAACGUCCAAUGUGUGUAUUCGGUUUGAGGAGUCUCCUUCAUAUGUGAAAGGAGGAACACUAAGAGAUUAUCAGGUUAGAGGUUUGAACUGGAUGAUCUCACUGUAUGAAAAUGGAGUUAAUGGUAUUCUGGCAGAUGAAAUGGGGCUUGGUAAGACUCUGCAAACAAUAGCUUUAUUAGGCUAUCUGAAGCAUUACCGAAACAUUCCUGGGCCACAUAUGGUCCUGGUUCCAAAAUCAACUUUGCAUAACUGGAUGAAUGAAUUCAAGCGCUGGGUUCCGUCCUUACGUGCUGUUUGCCUUAUUGGAGAUAAAGAUGCCAGAGCUGCAUUUAUCCGUGAUGUUAUGAUGCCUGGUGAAUGGGAUGUUUGUGUAACAUCAUAUGAAAUGAUAAUUAAAGAGAAAUCAGUUUUCAAGAAAUUUAACUGGAGGUACCUGGUAAUUGAUGAAGCCCACAGAAUAAAGAAUGAGAAGUCUAAGCUGUCAGAGAUUGUACGUGAAUUCAAGACAACAAAUCGAUUGUUGCUUACAGGAACUCCUUUACAGAAUAACCUCCAUGAGCUGUGGGCAUUACUCAAUUUCCUUUUACCUGAUGUCUUCAAUUCUGCAGAUGAUUUUGACUCAUGGUUUGACACUAAAAAUUGUCUUGGUGAUCAGAAACUUGUAGAGAGACUUCAUGCUGUUUUGAAGCCAUUUCUCUUACGUCGCAUAAAAGGUGAAGUAGAAAAGAGUUUGCCUCCAAAGAAGGAAGUAAAAAUUUAUCUUGGCCUCAGCAAAAUGCAGAGAGAAUGGUAUACCAGGAUCCUGAUGAAAGAUAUUGAUAUCCUGAAUUCAGCUGGCAAAAUGGAUAAGAUGCGUCUGCUGAAUAUUCUGAUGCAGCUGCGGAAGUGCUGUAACCAUCCUUACCUAUUUGAUGGUGCUGAGCCAGGCCCUCCUUACACCACUGACACUCAUCUCAUCACCAACAGUGGUAAAAUGUUAGUCCUGGAUAAACUGCUGGCAAAACUCAGAGAACAGGGUUCCAGAGUUCUGCUGUUCAGUCAGAUGACUCGGUUGCUGGAUAUUUUGGAAGACUAUUGCAUGUGGCGUGGUUAUGAGUACUGCAGACUUGAUGGGCAGACACCACAUGAGGAAAGAGAGGAAGCAAUUGACACAUUUAACGCUCCCAACAGUAGUAAAUUCAUUUUCAUGCUGAGUACCAGAGCUGGAGGUCUUGGAAUUAAUUUGGCAACUGCUGAUGUUGUUAUUCUUUAUGAUUCAGAUUGGAACCCUCAAGUAGAUCUGCAAGCCAUGGAUCGUGCGCAUCGUAUUGGUCAAAAGAAACCAGUACGGGUGUUCCGACUUAUCACUGAUAAUACUGUUGAAGAGAGGAUUGUAGAAAGAGCUGAAAUAAAACUGAGACUGGACUCUAUAGUUAUACAACAAGGAAGGCUCAUAGACCAACAGUCCAACAAACUGGCAAAAGAUGAAAUGCUGCAGAUGAUCCGGCACGGAGCCACACAUGUUUUUGCUUCCAAAGAUAGUGAGCUGACAGAAGAAGAUAUAACCACUAUUUUAGAAAGAGGUGAAAAGAAGACAGCUGAAAUGAAUGAACGAUUGCAGAAAAUGGGAGAGAGCUCCCUACGAAAUUUCACUAUGGACACAGAGAUGAGCUUAUACAACUUUGAAGGUGAAGAUUACAGAGAAAAACAAAAGCUGAGCAUGAUGGAAUGGAUUGAACCUCCAAAAAGAGAACGUAAAGCCAAUUAUGCAGUAGAUGCUUAUUUCAGAGAAGCCCUACGUGUCAGUGAACCAAAAGUCCCUAAGGCUCCACGACCUCCAAAACAACCAAAUAUUCAGGAUUUUCAGUUUUUCCCACCACGGUUAUUUGAACUCCUGGAAAAAGAAAUUCUGUAUUACCGUAAAACUAUAGGAUAUAAGAUCCCCAGGAAUCCUGACCUUCCAAAUGCAGCUCAGAUACAAAAGGAGGAGCAAAAGAAGAUAGAUGAGUCUAUGCCUCUGAAUACUGAAGAAAGUGAAGAGAAAGAAAAGCUUCUAACACAGGGUUUUACAAACUGGAAUAAAAGAGAUUUUAACCAGUUUAUUAAAGCUAAUGAGAAAUAUGGUCGUGAUGAUAUAGAUAAUAUUGCCCGCGAGGUGGAAGGAAAGUCACCAGAGGAAGUCAUUGAGUACUCAGCUGUUUUCUGGGAACGUUGUAAUGAACUCCAGGACAUUGAGAGGAUUAUGGCUCAAAUUGAACGAGGAGAGGCAAGAAUUCAGCGGAGGAUCAGUAUCAAGAAAGCCCUUGAUGCCAAAAUUGCAAGGUACAAAGCACCUUUCCAUCAGCUGCGUAUUCAGUAUGGAACAAACAAAGGCAAAAACUACACAGAAGAGGAAGACAGAUUUUUGAUCUGUAUGUUACACAAGAUGGGCUUUGACAAGGAAAAUGUGUACGAAGAGCUGAGGCAGUGUGUGCGCAAUGCUCCUCAGUUCAGGUUCGACUGGUUUAUCAAAUCCAGAACUGCAAUGGAGUUUCAGAGACGCUGCAAUACUCUCAUAUCAUUAAUUGAAAAAGAAAAUAUGGAAAUUGAGGAAAAAGAGAGAGCUGAAAAGAAGAAAAGAGGAGCAAAAGUUACAGCAGUAUGUUUAGCAGCACUUACUUUACUUCCAGUGGGGUAGAAUUCAAUUAUAUAUUUUUUUAGAUUUAACUGAAAUAUUUGUCUAUUCACAGCUCUCCUAGAUUUGCUUAGUCACAGAAGAGAAAAGCAGAUUUGGCUGCUGAAAACUCUGGAAAAAAGGAUGCUAAGAAAGUGAAGUCAUGAACCUGAAAACUGAAUGCUAAAUAUUAAACUGCCACGUUCUUCACUCCAUCUAUGUAUAUUAAUUGCCAACUUCUUUGUAUUCAUGGUACUCUUCCCCAAGUCCCAUGCUUUAAUUUUGCAAAUUUUGUAUCCUUUACAAUGUCUUUCUUAACCUAAAAUAUGUAGCUUUAUAUCUUAUGCAUUCCAUUAUUUUUGUGUACUGUAUUUUGUGAGUUUCAUGUCUUUGGCAAAAUUCACUCAGUUCUUGGUUUUCUGAGGCUUGUGCUGAGGUUUUAGCUUUUAUAUGUUUUAUAUGCUGCUGCUUUGAAAGAAAACCUAGAUUCUAUAGCUGUAUUGUUGUUGUUUCAUAUUUUAAAUUUAUAUCGUUGUUGGAAAAUAAACGAACUUAAUUAUUUGAAGAGAAAUAUACUUCACCUUUGUUUUCCCUACCCUCUCUCCCUUUUUUGCAUAGCUACAUUUAGAGAGAAUGUUAAAGUCUGUAUAAUUGUGCCUUCAUCAUCAAUCAGAUUUUUUUCAGAGGAGUACCUAGACAGGACCAGGAGCAUGACAGAGCAAAACCUAGACUGACAACCUUGUUUGCUCUCUGCAUUAAAUGGACGUUUUCUCUGAAAUUUUCAGAAGGAAACCCAGCAAAUACACACUUCUUGUUUUUCUUAAUCAAUGAUUUCUGCUGGUCUACAUGCUUAAACACAGGGUGAGGUUUUUCUCAGAAUGGCCUCCAGAUGAAAACUUUUCUAAGACUCAUAAAAGGAAGUAGUCGGUUCACAGCUUCUGGUUGUUUAAGUAGCAAACAAAAUAAUUCACUUUCUGGUUGGUAGGUUCCUCAGCUCUGCUGCCUUGUGCUGAAAGAUCUUUGUUGCUCUAAUUAUCUCAGCUAAAGUUCUUCUUUUACCUUUAAUUCAACGUGUCAGUCAGAAGCUAUGGGGAUAUGUUAUGGAGUGCUCCUUUUAGUAUUUCUAUUUUAAUGAAGGGAUGAAAGUGUUGGAUGUAUGAUUUUUUGACUGCAAGAAUGGCCUUUAUUAAGCAGGUUCACAGUUCCUGCUCAUUUUGGAGUCUCUGCCUUUCCUGGAUCAGUAGAACAGUGGCUGUGACAUCUGAUGUUUUACUUUAGUGUUCUGUCUCUGAUCUGGUGUUUAGUACAGACCUUGCUAUAGUGAAACAUACUCUCAUAAUGUCAGGUCUAGAUUAAUGCAGUGUGCUUUACAUGGUACUUUCCUUGAAGACUACUUGUCAACUUCUUCUAGUGCAGUUUGCUUCCUUCAGUGGUUUGAGGUGUUUUGAAAUCAAGGAACCUCUUUACUCUUUGUAUUUUGUGCUUUGCAUUGGCUAACUUCUUCUGUGUUUGUAAAAUAUAGGACUUCAUAAAAUAAAGUUCUUGAGCUUUGCCCAUAUUCUUCUAUGUCAUUUUAAAUAUAUUGGUAUGUCUUUGAAGUUUUUGGGAUUAGUAUCUCUUAAGUUUGAUGUGGAAUUUCUCGCUUUUUUGGUAGUGUCUGUUAGAGGUUUGGGGCAAAAUGGGUGUGAUGAUUGGUUGAGCAUUUCAAAAGAUAAUUCAAAAGAUUAGGUUAUGUAUUUUGGAGUGUAACUUUUGGCCAGGGACCACAUUAAUUAUUUCACUGGGCUUAUAUUUUUAGGACUUGAUAUUUGUCUGUUGAGCUUCAUCUGAUGAGUAGAGAGGUGCAUCUGAUAAAUGACAGGGCACAGAUUCCAGGCAGGAGAUUGGUCUUAGGAGUCAGAGCAUGCUUUUAAAUGACUCUGCAACCCAGGUGGGAUUGGUGUGCUCAGGAAAGAAGCAUGUCUCCUCAGAAUGUAGUUCUGGUAUUGGAGCAGUUAACAUCCUGCUUUAUUCUUGGGAGGAGGACAUCCCAUGUAAUUGUGGAAAAAGGCUGCGCAGCUACACGCAUAUAUAACCACAAAUCCCUGGAGCAUUGCUAUUAAUAGAGGAAGAUGCCUUAUUUUCAUUUGUAUUUUGGCUCAUCAGCCACUCACUAAGUUUAUGGCCUGAAAUGAUAAAAACACGUUAAAAGAGAUGAGAAACAAAGGCUGAAAGAGCCAGUUGAAAUGUUUAUGGAAUUACGUGGCUAGGUCUAGAGCUUAUUCUAUUGCUCCUAUUUAGCACUGGAUGAAUAUUUUAAUGUUUUAAGUCUUGAAAUAAGUGUUUUCUGGUUCUGUUUAUUGUAGAUUAGCUUUGUUUGACUUGCAUGGUUUUGUGCAUCCAGUUUUUCUGUGUUGCAAAGUGUAUGGAAAGUCUUAAAAUGGUAAUAUCUCAACAUAUUCUUUUAUGCAGAUUUCUUGUUUUGAGUCACCACUUGAAUUAAUGUUCAUUCAUCUCAAUGGCAUGAUACACAGGCCAUAUAGCUAAAGAUAAUGCAAUUGUUCUUUCAGAUCUUAUCCCUUGAUCAGACAGCUUCUCUGAAGAACGAUAGAUUCUCCCAGAAACUGUUACCUCUCGCAGUCUGUAGUCGCUAGUUAAACUGAAUGUGCUGUUGAACAAGAGUCCUUGAGAGCAUUUGGACACUACAAACCAGUUCCUAGGGGAUUGAGCCUUCUUAUCCAUCAUGUGAUAACUAAAGAAAAUUGCCAACAGCUGCUGGACAGGAUUAAAGAAAAAUGGAUCUUUCUUUUCCUUUUUUCAUUCUUUCAGUUGCAGAUAUCAACACAGUGUGUGUCUAGCAGUAUCUUAAAUUAUAUGUUGCUGUGACUCAAAAUUAGGUGACAGAAAUGAAAGAAUCUUCCUGCUUUUAACUGCUAUUUUCUUAGGCAAGGAAUACUGUUCAUAAGAAAUUAGUAAGCACUGAAUGUUAUGUGAUAGAAAACUUAUGAAAAAUUUGGGCCUUUAGGGAAUUUUAGAGUUGCCAAAAAUGCUGCAAGAUAAAACACUUUGAAAAUUAAUUUAGUUUCUUUUCAGUGGACAAGUAAAAUUUGAUUGUGUAAACAUCAGGCUUGAAGAAAGUCACCUAGCACCUUUGACUCACGAGGCACGUAACGUCCUGGGAGAGGUCACAGCAAUUUUGGUGGUUUCCUUUUCACAUUUUCAUAAUUUCCAACUUACUAGUUCUUUUAUUUUUGAGUUAUGUUAGUGAUAACACCAAAAAAGUAAUGCAGCUAACCACCUUCAUUGUAUGUAAUUUCACUUUGUUACAAUGACACAGAAGAAAUUAACUUUCUUCUUGCUGGUAAUAUUAGACCAUCUUUAGAUGUUGGUUUGCACAAGUUGUGUUACUAUACUAAAAUAUUAAUAAUUUUUUUCUAGUAGAUUAGCUUUGCUUGUUUGAUUUAGUGCUGAUGCUGGUAAGGGGUUAAGAAAAAAGCAGCUAUCACUCUGAGAUGAUGAGCAAGGAGUACAGUAUGCAGAAAUUAAUCAGCAUCUCUAAGUGUCUGAUGGUGAUGCCAAACCGAUUUUUGCUUUUAUAUAUCUUUCAUAUAUAUUUGUAGUUUUGUAGCUAUAUGAAGGAUAUAUAAAAGCAAAAAUUAGCUUGGCAUCAAUGGAAGUAAUGUUGUUGUGCAGUGCCUGCAGUUCCUGCUGUGUGCGACUGUGUUACAGGCAUUCUCUGUACCAUGCCUCCUGCCCACAUUCAGUAGGGGGAUUAAGUACAUUCAGUGAGGAGAAAUUAAUGCUGAAGCGUUACAGGUUGAAAAAAGAGGGAAUUUUGCAGUCAGUAUUAGUUUAUGUGAAUACAGAAUUAUGAGGUUGGUGCACACAUUGGCACUUGUGAUGCUGGAAGGGAUUGGUCACCAACUGUAGUCCUGAUCUGACUGAAGAGAGGUUGACAGUUGUUACAUUUUAAUUAACUUUAUCUGGUCCACACACUUAAUUUCAAGCAUGUAUGUAAAUGUGUUCGUGGCUCCUAGUUCUAAUGUUUGUUAUGUUCUUUUUCUGAAAGACUUGAAGUUGAACUUGGUUUGCAUAUUUUGAAAUGUAAUGUACUCUUGAAUUGCAUUUGCAUGGUAUCCAUCCUUUCAUGAGAGCCUUAAUAGGAGUAAUAUUUGCUGCCUCAAAGGUAUGUCGGUGUCGUGUUGUUCAAGAUAACUUCUGAAAUUUUUCAAUCUAGGAUUUGUUUCUUAAGUUGUACAUAUAUGAAAAUAAAAGUUAAUAUGAA